rnacentral:lncRNA from 1 species
CCAACACACCAAUUAUGUAUUUAAGGAAAAACUUUUUACUGUUUCUGCUCAUCAUAUCAAUUUCCAUUAAUAAUUCAGUUGGUAGAAAACAUCAUCUUGAUCUAAAGGAUGAGACUCGAAAAAGCAUACCUGUUAGUAUGUUCGGAUUUCUUCGAGGUGGCAUCUUGAAUGUUACAGUAUCUAACUUGGCAAUCUCGAAACAAGCACAAGAAACAUCAGGACUGGGGUUUAGCUUGGAUAGGACACUUAGUGAUGCUGCAAACCCAUACUUAGAUAGCAAACGGGAUAUCUGUAGUUCAAGAUUGGAAAUAAAUGAAGAACCAGAUCACACAGCUGUUGCUCGAUUUGAAUUUGAUUUCAAAGACAAAAUAUUUAAAGUUCGGUGCUCCAGCAGGUUUAAUUUCAUUGGCAACAUUAUUACUGUGGAUGACCCAAGAAAUUAAAAGAAAUUCAGUGGCUGAGAAACUUAGUGAUUCUAGUUUGUUCAGUCGAAAUGCUAGAACCAAAAGAAACAUACUUAAUGAAUCUCUAGAUGUUGCUGAGGCUUCAAAUGUUAGUGUUACUUGCAACACACUGAAAAUUCCACUUUCUUCUUCAGAUGGAAAUUCCUUUUCAACAAAUUUCACAGUAAACAUAAGACAUUCAGAAGAAGAAGGCAUGUACUUAACCUUUAUUUCCAUCGCUGUUUCAAUGACGAAAUAAUUCCCAUUAACCUAACCAUUGAGGUUACCGAAACCAACGGUGAUAUAAACUACCUAUCAGCUGAAACGGCAUGGAACUUUUUGCUGUUCCUCUUACAAAAGUAACUGGAUCGCGUUCGACGGCCGAUCGUUUCGCUUUCGGAAAAACCGAUGGGAGGAAAGGUGGAGCCGGCCAGCAGAAAGGAAAGAUUCAGCAUCGAACGGAUUUUGGUGAUGGGAGCAACCGGUU